rnacentral:rRNA from 1 species
AAUGAACGUUGGCGGCGUGCAUUUGGCAUGCAAGUCGUGCGGAAGUGGCCCGCAAGGGUUACUUUAGCGGCGAAAGGGAGAGUAAUACGUAGGUACCUACCCCUGGAACCGGGAUAGCUGCGGGAAACUGCAGGUAAUACCGGAUAACGUCUCCGGCCCAAAGGUGUGAUUCCGUGCGGGGAGGGGCCGACGUCCUAUUAGCUAGGUGGUGAGGUGAUGGCUCACCAAGGCAAAGAUGGGUACGGGGUAUGAGAGUAUGCCCCCGCUCACUGGGACUGAGACACUGCCCAGACACCUACGGGUGGCUGCAGUCGAGGAUCUUCGGCAAUGGGGGAAACCCUGACCGAGCGACGCCGCGUGUGGGAUGAAGGCCCUCGGGUUGUAAACCACUGUCAGAGGGGAUGAAAUGCUAUGGGGUUCUCUCCAUAGUUUGACAUAUCCUCAGAGGAAGGACGGGCUAAGUUCGUGCCAGCAGCCGCAGUAA